rnacentral:lncRNA from 1 species
AAUGAGAGGUCUAAGACAAUUCUAUUUCGCAUGUGAAACUGAAGCCCCUUCUCCUUCCCAACUCCCCCAACAAAGGGAAAACAGACUUGUGAUUUUUCUUAAAGUAAUUCAAAUCUCAUUCACUCCGAUCCAUCAUCUUGUCCAAAAGAGAGAACUUUCAGAGCCAGUAGCUUAUUCUCUCCCUCUGCAAGUCCAAUGACUUGGAUAAUUCAAAUUCAGAGGAUCGAGCACCUAAAGGAGAAACUCGUAAGCAGGAGCUUCUUGCCAGACUUGCAAUGCUUCAAGCCCAAAAGGUCCGUCUCACUGAUUACUUGGACGAAAGAUCAGCAUACCUGACCCAGUUUGCUGAAGAAGCCAAUGCUGAAAUUGACCAGAUAGGAGAAAAUGCCCUGAGUGAAUUGGACGAAGCCGGUGCCAGGGUCUGUUCAACUUCUUUUAUAUUAAAGGCAUAAAAAAAUUAGACCUCUUUGGAAAUUUCAUCUGUAAAUAACUGGAUUUAUUCAUUUGUUGAGCAGAUAAUGGAAAAUAUAGAGAGCCAGAUGCAAGCCUUUGAAGAAUCUGCGGAGAUGAAGAAAUUAGAGAUUGAGAAGAACGAACAAACAGUAACAGACUUUGAAGACCAAAUUGAAAGAGAGAGAAAUGAAAGGUUAUUAUUCAAAAACUUGAAGGCAAAAACACCAAUUGAAGUAGAGAAAGACAAGGAAGAGGCAGAGAAAAUCAGGGAGCUUACCAAAAAAAAUUCAGGUUCAGUAACUAGAAGGACAAUUUACCAUGCACUGAUUGGCGUAGUAAUCAUUGGCAUACUUUGAAGGUUGCAGUUCUCGCGAGAUUUUAGUCAGUUUGCUUUCUCAACUCAUCUACAAGCAGAAUAUGUUAUCAGAAACAGAGAGAAUAGAGCGACAGAAUAACAAAGAAAAGAAUGAGUGAAGUGCACUUUUCUCCUGUUGAACGAUCUUACCAUAAAUGCAGCGUAUAUAGCCCCAAAUACGAUAUCAAGAAACCUUGCUUUUCAAUUGGCCUCUAUGUUUGGUGAUACCAACUCAGUCGCCGAAACCCACUUUGUAACUGAUGCUUUAUUGGAAUUAUUGUCCACAGGAUAUCAAUGUAAAAUAGAAGGAAAAAAUAAUUUAAGUUGUAACCUUCUGCAUUUUCAUGACUCGUCAGGAAUGUGAUCUAGAAGGAAGUAAAACGCCAAACAAAAUGAAGCUUUUGAGGUUCCUAAGUCUUGUUACUCUAAACAGAGAACUUCUCACCGAAUACGAUGUAGCAUGAAUUAUAACUCCAAAUAAAAUAUUAUUACCUGGGGCUGAUAUGUCAGGCUAACCUCCCUUUUGCAUCAAACGUUUGUUUGGUGACACCACUAUGAUCACCAAAGCCAUGCAAUGUUUGAUGCUUAACAACAUUUCAUCCAUACACAUGAUUAGGAAAACAGGAGAGAGCACAACUAUUUUUGAAGAAUGGAAUUUUGUCGCGACUAGAUUAAGCCCUGUUUGAGCCCCAUUUUUUAAAAAUUCAUUUUUUCCCAAACUCAUUUUCAACCACAUAUUCUCCCGAUACAAUAAUUUACAUGUAAACCCAAAAUUUUUCCAUACUUAUUAACCACAUAUUCUCCAAAAAAAUUACUAUUACAAAAUCUAUUCUACUGAAAAAUGGAGCUCAAAAAUAGUGUAAAUAGACAUACUACCACAUUUCUAGCUCACAGUAAGCAUGCCAUCUUAAUCAAAGUGAAAAGAAAAGAACUGUUUGGAUAUUCUAGAAUUGAUACAGGAUUGCUGACAGCUUUGCAUCCAAGUUAAAGAAAAAAAGGGGGGGCAAACAAGUGCUACCUUGUUCAAAUUUUAUGAAUCACAUCAUGCUAUUUGAUGCCUCGUACAAACUGGAGAGCCUGCCUUAUUUACUACAGUUCCCAAAAAUGUAGCUAUAAUGCAUCAUAAUGGCCCGAUCUUUUUAAGUUGCGAUUGAUUCAUAUGAAUCAUGAUGUUCCUCGAUAUGCGAAAAGCUUCAAACUUUACAGGCUUGGACCUUGUCAGUGGAGUUAGUGACCUUAAAUCUGAGACCAAGUAGCUGUUCUAAUCACCUUAAAUGAUUGUCCGGGCAACCUAUCCCACCUGUAGAUAUAAAGUUUAUAAUGGAAACACUUGUAUGCAACAAGAAGUACCUAAACAUAAAUGCAUUCUUAUGAAGCACCCUUUCAGAA